UACGUAGGGUGCGAGCGUUAAUCGGAAUUACUGGGCGUAAAGUGUGCGCAGGCGGCUGAGCAAGUCGGGUGUGAAAGCCCCGAGCUUAACUUGGGAAUUGCGCUCGAAACUACUUGGCUGGAGUGUGGCAGAGGAGGGUGGAAUUCCACGUGUAGCGGUGAAAUGCGUAGAUAUCCGGAGGAACACCAGUGGCGCAGGCGGCUCGCUGGGUCGGCCCUGACGCUGAGGCACGAAAGCGUGGGAAGCAAACAGG
rnacentral:rRNA from 1 species